GGAGAUACCCUGGAGAUGAAGAACAAAGUUCUUGACCGAGAUAGAGGAGAACCGUGGUAAAGACCCCAGGCACAGGAGAAGAAAUAUGGAGGAGGUCAUCUGGAUUACCCAUUCAGAAAAUCAGCAACCACCUUGUGUGUGGGGGGGGGGGAGAGAUUUAUCCAGACCGUCGUAGAUGGAGAAGGUGCUUGAGGUGGUGCGACCAUCGCGAAGAAAUUAGCAAGGACAAAAUCGCGGAAGAUGAGGCCUGAAUGGGAGGAGGGGGGACAUGAUGGAAGCAGGGGAAGGAAGCGAUCCCAGCGGUGGCAAGGAA
rnacentral:lncRNA from 1 species